UGAAGCUUGUAUGUUUGGAAG
rnacentral:misc_RNA from 1 species